rnacentral:lncRNA from 1 species
AUUGACUUUCGCGCCUUCCGGAAAUAAAUGAAUUAAAAUCCAAUUAAACAUACCAAUAAAAUAACCAAUUGUUAAAACCUAUUCAUUUCAGCUGCUAGUCGUUCGAUUAAAGAAAGUUAAUCGCUUAAUUCAACGCGUUACCAACAGUUUUGUGCCAAAGAAAAAAAACGCUCGAGAACUUUCUGGAAAAAGGCCGAAAUGAAACUCGCAGUUCGGUUAUUGCUGAUUAAACUCACUUAGUACUUAGAUUUUUACUUGCGUAUGCUCCAGUUGCAGCUAAAGUGGUAGUCGACUAAUAACAAUAUUUUCACUCAAUUCGGUCGGUUAAAAUACGCGCAAAAG